UACGGAGGGGGCUAGCGUUGUUCGGAAUUACUGGGCGCAAAGCGCACGUAGGCGGCUUUGUAAGUUAGAGGUGAAAGCCCAGGGCUUAACCCUGGAAUUGCCUUUAAGACUGCAUCGCUAGAAUCGUGGAGAGGUGAGUGGAAUUCCGAGUGUAGAGGUGAAAUUCGUAGAUAUUCGGAAGAACACCAGUGGCGAAGGCGACUCACUGGACACGUAUUGACGCUGAGGUGCGAAAGCGUGGGGAGCAAACAGG
rnacentral:rRNA from 1 species